rnacentral:rRNA from 1 species
AUGCACAACCCUACACAGUUAGAACAUCUCAGCGAACUUCAUCUGAGUAGCUGCAAGAACUGCAAGGAUCUUCCACCAUUAUGGAAGAUGCCCUCUCUCGGGUACCUGAGUUUGGAUAAUUUUCCUAGUUUGAAAAGUAUAUGUGUUGGUAAUGAUGAUACAGACAUUGGGCAACCUUGUAUUUAUCCACCACCUUUCUUUCCUAAGUUGGAAGCCAUGAUAAUUUCCGACAUGCCUAAGCUAGAGAGAUGGCACGAGGAGGUGCCAGGACAAGCAGCGGUUGUAUCAUUCUCUCAGCUCAAGAAGCUAGAAAUUACUGAAUGCCCAAUGCUGCAAAGCAUGCCCAAGAUGCUCCCUUUGCUUGAACAACUACUUGUAAAGUCGGCAAGAGCCAUUCCCCUUUACCAUGUGAUUAAUUUGUCUGUGCAAUUUAAUCUUGAGUGCAAAGGCAUCAUUUCAGUGGAACCUACAGUUGGUUGGCAGCAUGCGGACCUUCAUUUCUCGAGGCUUGGCGACUCUCGCGUGGAACUGACACUCAGAGGUUUGACGGAAAAUUUAGAGCGCUUUGAAGAAGAGCUGAAAAGAAUACCUUGCAGAUUUAUCAAGGAGCUACGUAUAAUAAGUUGCGACUGUCUUUUCUCAUCUGAACCAUCCCAAAUACAGCGGGAUAUAUGGAACCAUUUUGGUUUUGUUGAAACGCUGUGUAUUUCAGGCAGCAGUAAUAUAGUACAAUGGCCAAUGGUAGAAUUGGGAAACUUGAAUCAAAUUCGAGGCCUAGAGUUGUACCAGUGCUGCAACUUAACCGGUUCAAUUCCAUCAACAAUAUCUGAUGACAAAUAUGUCCUGCUUCCUCGACUCCAGGAUCUUAUAAUUCGAGAAUGUGAAAAUUUGGUGGAGGUACCAAAGUUGCCUGCAUCUCUUGAAAAAUUGUACAUCAGUCGUUGUCCCAAGCUGGUGUCCAUGCCAAUAGUUCUUGGGAACGUCAAAAAAUUGAGAGAACUCGAUGUGCAUGGGUGUGAUGCCUUGACGGCAUUUACGGAUGGAAUGUAUGGAGUCAUUGCACUCAGGAGGCUGGUAGUGGCGGGGUGCCCAAGGAUAGAGGCACUACCGGAGGGACUCCUGCAGCAGCUCCCAGUCCUGGAGGAACUAGGUAUCACAGAUUGCCCCAACUUGGAGGAGGCCUUCUCAAGAGGUGGUGCUUACUGCAAUUUGGUUGAAGCAAUUCCACACAGAUCAAGGAAUUUGGCUUAA